rnacentral:rRNA from 1 species
AUUGAACGCUGGCUGCAGGCUUAACACAUGCAAGUCGAGCGGAGAGAGGUAGCUUGCUACCGAUCUUAGCGGCGGACGGGUGAGUAAUGCUUAGGAAUCUGCCGAUUAGUGGGGGAUAACAUUUCGAAAGGAAUGCUAAUACCGCAUACGUCCUACGGGAGAAAGCAGGGGAUCUUCGGACCUUGCGCUAAUAGAUGAGCCUAAGUCGGAUUAGCUAGUUGGUGGGGUAAAGGCCUACCAAGGCGACGAUCUGUAGCGGGUCUGAGAGGAUGAUCCGCCUCACUGGGACUGAGACACGGCCCGUACUCCUACGGGAGGCAGCAGUGGGGAAUAUUGGACAAUGGGCGCAAGCCGGAUCCAGCCAUGCCGCGUGUGUGAAGAAGGCCUUAUGGUUGUAAAGCACUUUAAGCGAGGAGGAGGCUACUUUAGUUAAUACCUAGAGAUAGUGGACGUUACUCGCAGAAUAAGCACCGGCUAACUCUGUGCCAGCCGCCGCAGUAACAC